rnacentral:rRNA from 2 species
GACCCACCUGAUUCCAUCCCGAACUCAGAAGUGAAACGAAACAGCGUCGAUGGUAGUGUGGGGUUUCCCCAUGUGAGAGUAGAACAUCGCCAGGC